CAAUGGGGGUGGGACUAAGAAUGCUAGUCGAGCGCUUCCUAGCCAAUAUGGGAGCGCGGCACACAGCUCAGUAACACGUGGCUAACCUGCCCUUGGGACAAGAACAACCCCGGGAAACUGGGGCUAAUUCUUGAUAGGCGAAGAACUCUGGAAUGAGUCCUCACCCAAAAGACACUUGCAUUAUGCUUGUAGGUUUCGCCCAAGGAUGGGGCCGCGGCCGAUCAGGUUGUUGGUGAGGUAAUGGCUCACCAAGCCUUUUACCGGUGCGGGCCGUGGGAGCGGUAGCCCGGAGAUGGGCACUGAGACAAGGGCCCAGGCCCUACGGGGCGCAGCAGUUGCGAAAACUCCGCAAUGCACGAAAGUGUGACGGGGCUACCCCGAGUGCCGUCCGCUGAGGGCGGCUUUUCCCCGGUGUAAGGAGCCGGGGGAAUAAGGAGAGGGCAAGUCUGGUGUCAGCCGCCGCGGUAAUACCAGCUCUCCGAGUGGUAGGGAUGAUUAUUGGGCUUAAAGCGUCCGUAGCCGGCCCGGCAAGUCUUCCGUUAAAUCCAACGAUUCAAUCGUUGGACUGCGGGAGAUACUGUUGGGCUAGGGGGCGGGAGAGGCCGACGGUAUUCUCGGGGUAGGGGUAAAAUCCUAUAAUCCCGGGAAGACCACCAGUGGCGAAGGCGGUCGGCUAGAACGCGCUCGACGGUGAGGGACGAAAGCUGGGGGAGCGAACCGGAUUAGAUACCCGGGUAGUCCCAGCUGUAAACGAUGCGGGCUAGGUGUUGGGGCGGCUACGGGCCGCUUCAGUGCCGCAGGGAAACCAUUAAGCCCGCCGCCUGGGGAGUACGGCCGCAAGGCUGAAACUUAAAGGAAUUGGCGGGGGAGCACCACAAGGGGUGAAGCUUGCGGUUUAAUUGGAGUCAACGCCGGG
rnacentral:rRNA from 1 species